ACUCCUUUCAGCAGCACAGACAUAAACCUGUAACCACACAGAGAUUAGCAUGGUCCCUUCACAAGCGUGACAUGCAAGCUCAGGAAGCACUCCAUUUUUCC
ensembl:snRNA U6 U6 spliceosomal RNA